AUACCAUGAAGUGGGCACUUCCUUAAAAACUCUUUAAAUCUUUCUCAUGCAUCAUACAACGAUUCCCCUUCCGUCUGGUAAAAAUUAUUAAUUUCCCCUCUCAACUU